rnacentral:ncRNA from 2 species
GAUAUAUUCUUAGCGCUGGCUCUCAUAACGGAGAGGACGAGGAAGAGGUUGUCGAGCAUUCAGCGGAUGCCUCUCGGCUCAGCCGGUCGAUAAAGGUCGUAAAAACCCGACGGUGACGACGGGGACAAAGCGGUAUAUAAGGCUAU